GCUUUGGAGAAGCUCAGGGCCUCUUUGCGCUUGAGCUUGGAUUUGCUGCUGCUGGCGCCUGAGCCCACACCGGUGCCAGCCACCGUGGCCCUGGAUAGGAAGCAGCGCUGGGCAUGUGCGUGAGGGCCGCCGCCCUUGGAGCGCAGGGCCUCAGGCUGGGCCAGGAGGGCGGGCACGGGGUGGGUGAGGCAGGUCUGCAGCAGCAGAGCUGGGUCCUCGUCGUCUGAGCUGUAGGACGAGUCCUCGUUGUCGGAGGAGCAGAGGCUGGAGGGCGCGUAGGAGCUGGCCAGGCUGCUGAAGGAGUCGGCGCGGAAGCCGUUGCCAAAUACGGGCGUGGCCACGCUGUGCACAGGGAACACGGCCUCGCGGGCCCGCAGCUUCUUGCUGCUGCCGUUGAGCUGGAAGAGGUUCUGCAGCACCC
rnacentral:antisense_RNA from 1 species